rnacentral:misc_RNA from 1 species
GAUGAAGAACGUAGCGAAAUGCGAUAAGUAAUGUGAAUUGCAGAAUUCAGUGAAUCAUCGAAUCUUUGAACGCACAUUGCGCCCGCCAGUAUUCUGGCGGGCAUGCCUGUUCGAGCGUCAUUUCAACCAUCAAGCCCCAGGCUUGUGUUGGGGACCUGCGGCUGCCGCAGGCCCUGAAAACCAGUGGCGGGCUCGCUGUCACACCGGGCGUAGUAGAUUUUAUCUCGCUCAGGGCGUGCUGCGGGUUCCGGCCGUUAAAAAGCCUUUUUUACCCAAGGUUGACCUCGGAUCAGGUAGGAAGACCCGCUGAACUUAAGCAUAUCAAUAAGCGGAGA